ACCCACUUGGUGCCGAGUCAUUUUCCACAUGGGCACCACGUCACAGUUAACGGGAGACUUAACAGUUUGACUAACGGAUGUAUGAGACUGUCCCAAAAUUUACACUUUAGGUAUGACUCUGGGACGAAAAAAAAUUGAUGUACUUGUGAACACGGAAAAUUCCUGAAACGAAAGAGACAAGAACAACGUGCACAAACAAAUAUUUGUAUUUGAUGAUUUUGGGGUUACAAUCUCUCUUCUAUUUGAUCCUCUGAUUCAAUCUCCGUAAGGUGUGUAUUUGUGGAUAUGCGAUUAAUCCAAAGGGCCAUUGGGCUUGAUCUAAGGAUGAACGUUCUUCAAGGGCCGUGGACUUGAUCUUGAAGGUGGAUUUGAGCAGAACUUCAAAGGGGCUUUUGGGCUUGAUCUUUGAAGAACAGUGAUGAACGGAUCUCCAAGGGCUUUUGGGCUUGAUCUUGAAGAACAGUGAUGAACGGAUCUCCAAGGGCUUUUGGGCUUGAUCUUGAAGAACGGAUCUUCAAGGGCUUUU
rnacentral:lncRNA from 1 species